rnacentral:rRNA from 1 species
GUGGGGAAUAUUGCACAAUGGGCGAAAGCCUGAUGCAGCAACGCCGCGUGAGCGAUGAAGGCCUUCGGGUCGUAAAGCUCUGUCCUCAAGGAAGAUAAUGACGGUACUUGAGGAGGAAGCCCCGGCUAACUACGUGCCAGCAGCCGCGGUAAUACGUAGGGGGCUAGCGUUAUCCGGAUUUACUGGGCGUAAAGGGUGCGUAGGCGGUCUUUUAAGUCAGGAGUGAAAGGCUACGGCUCAACCGUAGUAAGCUCUUGAAACUGGAGGACUUGAGUGCAGGAGAGGAGAGUGGAAUUCCUAGUGUAGCGGUGAAAUGCGUAGAUAUUAGGAGGAACACCAGUAGCGAAGGCGGCUCUCUGGACUGUAACUGACGCUGAGGCACGAAAGCGUGGGGAGCAAACAGGAUUAGAAACCCUAGUAGUCC